rnacentral:rRNA from 1 species
CGAACGCUGGCGGCGUGCUUAACACAUGCAAGUCGAACGGAAAGGCCCUGCUUUUGUGGGGUGCUCGAGUGGCGAACGGGUGAGUAACACGUGAGUAACCUGCCCUUGACUUUGGGAUAACUUCAGGAAACUGGGGCUAAUACCGGAUAGGAGCUCCUGCUGCAUGGUGGGGGUUGGAAAGUUUCGGCGGUUGGGGAUGGACUCGCGGCUUAUCAGCUUGUUGGUGGGGUAGUGGCUUACCUAGGCUUUGACGGGUAGCCGGCCUGAGAGGGUGACCGGCCACAUUGGGACUGAGAUACGGCCCAGACUCCUACGGGAGGCAGCAGUGGGGAAUAUUGCACAACGGGCGGAAGCCUGAUGCAGCAACGCCGCGUGCGGGAUGACGGCCUUCGGGUUGUAAACCGCUUUCGCCUGUGACGAAGCGUGAGUGACGGUAAUGGGUAAAGAAGCACCGGCUAACUACGUGCCAGCAGCCGCGGUGAUACGUAGGGUGCGAGCGUUGUCCGGAUUUAUUGGGCGUAAAGGGCUCGUAGGUGGUUGAUCGCGUCGGAAGUGUAAUCUUGGGGCUUAACCCUGAGCGUGCUUUCGAUACGGGUUGACUUGAGGAAGGUAGGGGAGAAUGGAAUUCCUGGUGGAGCGGUGGAAUGCGCAGAUAUCAGGAGGAACACCAGUGGCGAAGGCGGUUCUCUGGGCCUUUCCUGACGCUGAGGAGCGAAAGCGUGGGGAGCGAACAGGCUUAGAUACCCUGGUAGUCCACGCUGUAAACGGUGGGUACUAGGUGUGGGGUCCAUUCCACGGGUUCCGUGCCGUAGCUAACGCUUUAAGUACCCCGCCUGGGGAGUACGGCCGCAAGGCUAAAACUCAAAGGAAUUGACGGGGCCCCGCACAAGCGGCGGAGCAUGCGGAUUAAUUCGAUGCAACGCGUAGAACCUUACCUGGGUUUGACAUGGAUCGGGAGUGCUCAGAGAUGGGUGUGCCUCUUUUGGGGUCGGUUCACAGGUGGUGCAUGGCUGUCGUCAGCUCGUGUCGUGAGAUGUUGGGUUAAGUCCCGCAACGAGCGCAACCCUUGUUCACUGUUGCCAGCACGUUAUGGUGGGGACUCAGUGGAGACCGCCGGGGUCAACUCGGAGGAAGGUGGGGAUGACGUCAAGUCAUCAUGCCCCUUAUGUCCAGGGCUUCACGCAUGCUACAAUGGCUGGUACAGAGAGUGGCGAGCCUGUGAGGGUGAGCGAAUCUCGGAAAGCCGGUCUCAGUUCGGAUUGGGGUCUGCAACUCGACCUCAUGAAGUCGGAGUCGCUAGUAAUCGCAGAUCAGCAACGCUGCGGUGAAUACGUUCCCGGGGCUUGUACACACCGCCCGUCAAGUCAUGAAAGUUGGUAACACCCGAAGCCGGUGGCCUAACCGUUGUGGGGGAGCCGUCGAAGGUGGGACUGGUGAUUAGGACUA